AGCAGCCGCGGUAAUUCCAGCUCCAAUAGCGUAUAUUAAAGUUGCUGCAGUUAAAAAGCUCGUAGUUGAAUUUCGGGACCAUCAUGUCGGUCGUGCCUCGGUACGUACUGGCAUUGUUGGUUUCUACCUUCUGACGAACCAUGAUGUCAUUUAUUUGGUGUCGUGGGAAAUCAGGACUGUUACUUUGAAAAAAUUAGAGUGUUUAAAGCAGGCUCACGCUUGAAUACAUUAGCAUGGAAUAAUGAAAUAGGACGUUUGAUUCUAUUUUGUUGGUUUCUAGGAUCGACGUAAUGAUUAAUAGGGAUAGUUGGGGGCAUUAGUAUUCAAUUGUCGGAGGUGAAAUUCUUGGAUUUAUUGAAGACUAACUACUGCGAAAGCAUUUGCCAAGGAUGUUUUCAUUAAUCAAGAACGAAAGUUAGGGGAUCGAAGACGAUCAGAUACCGUCGUAGUCUUAACCAUAAACUAUGCCGACUAGGGAUCGGAUGAUGUUAAUUUUUUAAUGACUCA
rnacentral:rRNA from 1 species